AGUGAACGCUGGCGGUAGGCCUAACACAUGCAAGUCGAACGGCAGCACAGGAGAGCUUGCUCUCUGGGUGGCGAGUGGCGGACGGGUGAGGAAUACAUCGGAAUCUACUCUGUCGUGGGGGAUAACGUAGGGAAACUUACGCUAAUACCGCAUACGACCUACGGGUGAAAGCAGGGGACCUUCGGGCCUUGCGCGAUUGAAUGAGCCGAUGUCGGAUUAGCUAGUUGGCGGGGUAAAGGCCUACCAAGGCGACGAUCCGUAGCUGGUCUGAGUGGAUGAUCAGCCACACCGGAACUGAGACACGGUCCAGACUCCUACGGGAGGCAGCAGUGGGGAAUAUUGGGCAAUGGGCGCAAGCCUGAUCCAGCCAUACCGCGUGGGUGAGGAAGGCCUUCGGGUUGUAAAGCCCUUUUGUUGGGAAAGAAAUCCAGCUGGCUAAUACCCGGUUGGGAUGACGGUACCCAAAGAAUAAGCACCGGCUAACUUCGUGCCAGCAGCCGCCGUAA
rnacentral:rRNA from 1 species